CGACAGCUGUGUAUAUACAGUCACUGCACACGCGUAAAACUCCUUCAAACGUGGAGGUGUUGUGAAAUAUGCUAAACAGCUGCUACGCGUUAUUUGGUUGAGGCUCUACUGUCCGCGAGCGCUGCACUGUGGGUCCUUUUACUCAAGAUCAGACGCUUUGAGGAGAGAAAUCCUCAGCUCGUAUGGAAAUCUGUGAGCGUGGUCCCAGUUCAGACUGGAGCAGCUUAUAAAUCACCAGCACUGGAGUUCCACGUGGACAGGACAACUCUGCAUCCAGGAUUCCAAACAGGCUGCGUCAGUGAAACUAUAGCGCUGCAAUUUGGAAAAACGCAGCAGAUGAAAGGAGAACGACGUUUUUACACGCCGCCGAGACUGUUUGCACGUUUUGCUAAAGCACCGACGUCUGGGUGUGUAAUUACACACUAAAAGCUGUUUUCUGUUUUUUUGUUUUUUUUCUUGAGGAAGUAUGUGUCGCUGCACGAACAUUAAACUUGCCUGUAAAUGGGCACAUGAUUGCACCAGGCACUCCCUUCUCAGACAAAACAUGGAGGAGGAGAUGAGGCAACGGUUUUUAUCCAGUGCGUUCCUGUACAAGGUUUAACAACUCACAAGUUAUUUACUUUCUCUGAGCUUUUAAAGCUUUAAAACUAUAAUGAUAGUUUCUCUUAAUUUAGUAAAAUAUAACAUUAAAGAUUAAACUAAAAAAACAACCUCAAAUAAGACUAACAAUUACAUAAAAAAACAUCAUAUUACAUUAAAUAACUUGUAUAAUUAACUUAAAUUGUGUUUGUUCUUACUUAUUUACUGUAGUACAGUAACAGCUUUUAGUUUUCGCCAUUAAAACAAUUACCAUAGUAGGAUCCAUGUACUGUAUGUUUUCCUCCACUGGUUAAAACAAGCCACUGCUUGACUUCAACAACAAAUCAGAGGAGUCAGAAACAGAAGAACAUUACGAGUGGUGUAAAUGUAAACACAAAUAACAAAAUUGUUGACAACAACAAUGUUAUACUACAAUAUAAAUGGUAGUUUCUAAAGCCCCAGCAUUUGAUUUUCCAUAAAAAGCACCCUCUGAGGCCGUUUUUUCAUGAGUCAUCAGCAGAAGCCUGUGAGGGAAUGCUGGGUGUCCUCACGCUUGGCUGCAGAGGCCACGGCGCCUCUCCUGAGAACAGACAGGGCGUGAUUAGUUAAAUGCAGGACACCCCACGCAUUGUCCCAACAACACGGGGGACAUCUGGCAGCGGCCACGCAGCGGCCUGAAGGUCCCCGUCCUCUUUCUAGAGCACUGAGCUGUGCAGCAUUGAAGCACUGGCCGCACAUUCUCAUGCUAAUACUGCAAAGGCAGGAGCAGAUGUGAAACACUCGGUUCUGUUCUUGUUCACUUGUAAAGAAAUAAUCAUUAUUUUACUUUUUGUUGUUGGAUUUGUCA
rnacentral:lncRNA from 1 species